GUCAUAGCAUCAUUAUGUCACUCAAUGCCAAUUGAUUUCUAGGGCUGAUUGCAAGCAAUCAUUAAUCACUUUGUAUUGAGCAGCAUGCCAGCUCCAUUGCAUCUGGGGCAAGUACAAGUGGCACCUAUUUAGCCAACAUCCUGCUCUCAGCACUUUCAUACUUCAUCUUUCAAACUAAACCAAACUGUUAGAGAUGCGGCAAGAGGUUCCAUUAUUUAUUUUGUCAGUAACUUCAGCCAUGAUGGUGUGCUGUCAAUCAUUCAUUGUCAAAAGAUAAGUGAGUUUCAUAAAAUAUUCUGUUGGUGCUGCCCCACAGCUGAGGAAGAAUUUGUCUGCACUUUGGUGUUACAAAUGGAACAUCACUCACUAAUAAACUGGCUCGACUCUUGCAUACAUACCAGCUUAAGAAAGUGUUUCUGUAACGCAGGAGAAUGUAUAGCUAAAGCUGCCUUGUCAUCCUGAUGGCUUCUUACAGUGUCCUAAACAAUAAUAAUUGAUUUAAACAUAAAUUACAGAUAUUACUUCCUUCAUUUUUUAUGGUGCAUAAUUAGAUAAUUAUCAAAAAAACUUUUUACACGUGUUUUCCUUAAUUAACUUUAAAUGUCAUUAGCAGCGAGCUUUGCUUGAUCAAAGACAGAUAAGUUGUAGCAAGAUUCUCAGAAAUAGCAUGCCAUUUACUAAUUAUAUUAUUGAUUUUUAUGGUCUGAAAAAUCCUAAUUAUAUGUGAUACAAACUGGACCUAGCUGAGCCUGCUGGGGGUACUUUGAACAUGAACAGUUCCUGGCAGUUCUGAGCAUCUCGCUUGCAUAAAUCACUUCUGGGCCUGAUUGUGCAUCUGUUUUCAAAGGUGAUGUUGUAAUGGACUUUGAAAUCCAAAAAAGUGCAUUCUGUGUGGCUCCACAUGAAAGAGGAAAGAGAUUUGGGAUUUUUUAUUCCUGAUUUUAAUCAUUCUUAAAAGAUUUUAGAUCUGUAGGCGGAUACAUUUGAACAGUUGAAGUAAUAUGGCAUAGUUGAUUUUAAUUAGUAGGCCAGCCUAGUACAGAAUUUCCCAUAGCUCCCGA
rnacentral:lncRNA from 1 species